ensembl:lncRNA
GGGGCCGAUGGAGGAAGGCUGAGGCGCGGUGAGAGGGGCAAGUGGAUCGCCUGGAGGGUCGCUGAGUGACACUUGGAACCACUCCUCAAGUGGAGAUGGAGUAAGCAAAAAGAGGAGUUACACGGAUCACCCUCUUAGCUAUCCACUUGCCAUAAAACCACUGAAUCGUUAGUCAACAUGCCCUCCAACUAAAGUAAGUAAGUUUACCACGUUGGGCGAAUGCUCCAAUAUCCAUCAUUUUUACCCCAAAAAGGGCGUCAAUCCUGUUGACGAACAAAUGCAUAAGAACCUAAUCAGCUGAAUGUAACUGAUACUGGUGUGCGUUCACCUCACCUGC